AUACGUAGGGGGCGAGCGUUGUCCGGAAUGAUUGGGCGUAAAGGGCGCGUAGGCGGCUUUGCAAGUCAGUAGUGGAAGUCCAUUUUUCAAGGAUGGAAGUGCUACAGAAACUGCGGAGCUUGAGUGCAGGAGAGGUUAUCGGAAUUCCCGGUGUAGCGGUGAAAUGCGUAGAGAUCGGGAGGAACACCAGUGGCGAAGGCGGGUAACUGGACUGUAACUGACACUGAGGCAUGAAAGCGUGGGUAGCAAACAGGAUUAGAUACCCUGGUAGUCCACGCCGUAAACGAUGGGUACUAGGUGUAGGAGGUAUCGACCCCUUCUGUGCCGUCGUUAACACAAUAAGUACCCCGCCUGGGGAGUACGGUCGCAAGACUAAAACUCAAAUGAAUUGACGGGG
rnacentral:rRNA from 1 species